rnacentral:rRNA from 1 species
AUUGAACGCUGGCGGCAGGCUUAACACAUGCAAGUCGAACGCCCCGCAAGGGGAGUGGCAGACGGGUGAGUAACGCGUGGGAAUCUACCCAGUUCUACGGAACAACAGAGGGAAACUUCUGCUAAUACCGUAUACGCCCUAAGGGGGAAAGAUUUAUCGGAAUUGGAUGAGCCCGCGUAAGAUCAGCUAGUUGGUGAGGUAAUGGCUCACCAAGGCGACGAUCUUUAGCUGGUCUGAGAGGAUGAUCAGCCACACUGGGACUGAGAUACGGCCCAGACUCCUACGGGAGGCAGCAGUGGGGAAUAUUGGACAAUGGGCGCAAGCCUGAUCCAGCCAUGCCGCGUGAGUGAUGAAGGCCUUAGGGUUGUAAAGCUCUUUCAGUAGGGAAGAUAAUGACGGUACCUACAGAAGAAGCCCCGGCUAACUUCGUGCCAGCAGCCGCAGUAAUAC